CAAGCUUCAGCUGGCAGCACCUUCAAGGAUGGCUUCAGCUCCACAGAACUUCCUCACCGAAGGUCGUGUCCUUCAGAGGGUAGCCCACAUCAAAUGACGGUGGAGGAGGGUAGACAUCUGUCAGACCAUUUCAGCCCAACAAAGGACAACUGUAAUGGGUUGUUUUAGCCCAAGCUUCCGCAUGAAGUUGGAACUGCUCCUACUGCCAGAUCCUUCUUCCUGCCUCCCCUUUCCAUGAGCGCUGAUGAGUCUUAGAGUCCAUCUCAGCGUCCUUCCCGGAGAACCCGACUCGUGAGACAUGGGUGGUUAAAAACACAUCUCUACAUCAGUAAUGACCUAGCUUCUCCACGUACUCAAGGAGGAUCAGGAGUAUGACUACAUUUCACUGUGCAGUGCCCCAAGGUCUUUCCAAGCCAGUGCCUAACCAGGUUCAACGAAUUUGCUGCUAUCCUGAGACUGAUUCUCAGUAGACACAAAGGACUGGCGCACACACUAUCAUAUGGCAGGAUGCGAUGGAAUGGGAAGGUCCUCAUUAUUUCCAAGAUAUUGUCCUAACAAUUGCUGGGUGCCCUCAAGAUUCUCCAAUGCCUCCAAUAUGUAAGCCUCAGGCCUAAGGGGAAACUACACAAUUCUGGACCAUGGCGGGGGAGUGAACUCAGCUGGAACAGGUUAAAAAUCCUACUCAAUCUCCAUGACUGAGUGACAAAUCCAGGAGAAAGUGAGGUUAAUCCAGCCACAGUCAGAAUGCCUCCUCUGAGUGUGUAUAAACCAGUGAAAUGUGCAGGAGGCCUGGGAAGCAGCGGCGAGGUCCAGCGAAAAUAAUCAUCACUCUUCACGCCGAGAGGCAACAAGCACUGCAGGUGAGAUAAAGUUCCAGACUUUAAAUCCGUCCUCAGUGCAGCAGGCCUGCGGCCACACUUCCCCAGAGAAGGCGCCUUGUCCAUCACUACAAUCAGCUCCACCAAAGCAUUUUAUCCAUUUAUUUAUUUUCAAGUUGUCAACGACGUUUUUGAAAGCAAAGGCAGACAAAGCUUCUUCUAUACAGCCUGAGGGAUCUGUAUUCCUUUUAACCAAAAUGGCCUGCAGACAUUUUUGCAAAACUAAUAAAAAAGCUCUAAGUACCAGCAUGUGGGCUGAACCAAAAUAAGGCACAAGUGUACAUACCAGUGUAGUACGAUGAAAUGUGAAAUUUAGAAAAGAAAAAAACUAACGGGAGUAGAGAGGCUAGAUAGAAUAUAGUAACGUAUUAUUGCACAAAUUCAUUCCCAUUGGCCCAACCUAGUGCUUAGUCAUGAUAUCAGAAACUUUUAUGUAAUAACAAAAUGGUAUUUGAAAUUAAACCUUGCACUUUCACUAACAAAGAACCAAGUCACUGAGAUAAGAAUUCAUAUAUUCUCCUCAAAGCUCUCAUAUAUCGUAUUUUAUAUAAACACCUGCAUGAGUUUAAAUUUCAUACUAUGAAUAUCUAGAGUUCAUGAGUUUCAAUGUGCUCUUUUCUUUACACACAGUAUACUUCACAGUCAUUGCCAUAUAACGGG
rnacentral:lncRNA from 1 species